AAAAAAAAAAAGGUAAAAGAAAAAGCAGCAGCUUUCAGGGGAUUGAUUGAGGAUAAAAUGCACUUUUAGACCUAAAGUCAUCACAAAAGGAAUUAGACAGCUAAUCACUACCAGCAAUCUGAGAAUUUGCAUGAAAAAUGGUGGGAUGAUGAGCUGAGAAGGGAUGUUAACAUAAGUUAAAGCGCAAAGGUAAAAAUCAAUGUGAGUAAUGCACUCAUAAAUUCAGUAUAUAUAGUUAUUAUCAAAGGAAAUUUAUCAGUGCAUAUGAAGAGAAUCCUUUAAAUUUCAGUACACACCAAAGCAUCUGUUCAAGCAUCAUUAAUGCUAAAGGAAUUUUACUUUGUUACUUUAAUCAAAAGCCUUGAAUUUUUUGCAAUAUGAAAUUGAUUAAAAACACCAUGUUCAUAAAAUUUUGCAAUGCAAAUUUGUAGCAAAGAAAAUUGCAAAGUGUUGGACCUCCAAAAAUGAAAUAGCAUGUAGUGAUGGAUGUGAAACCUUACACAAAUGAAAUAAAAGAUGCCUCG
rnacentral:misc_RNA from 1 species